CCUACGGGGGGCAGCAGUGGGGAAUAUUGGACAAUGGGCGAAAGCCUGAUCCAGCCAUGCCGCGUGUGUGAAGAAGGCCUUCGGGUUGUAAAGCACUUUCAGUGGGGAAGAAAGCCUUGGGGCUAAUACCCUCGAGGAAGGACAUCACCCACAGAAGAAGCACGGGCUAACUCCGUGCCAGCAGCCGCGGUAAUACGGAGGGUGCGAGCGUUAAUCGGAAUUACUGGGCGUAAAGCGCGCGUAGGCGGUCUGAUAAGCCGGUUGUGAAAGCCCCGGGCUCAACCUGGGAACGGCAUCCGGAACUGUCAGGCUAGAGUGCAGGAGAGGAAGGUAGAAUUCCCGGUGUAGCGGUGAAAUGCGUAGAGAUCGGGAGGAAUACCAGUGGCGAAGGCGGCCUUCUGGACUGACACUGACGCUGAGGUGCGAAAGCGUGGGUAGCAAACAGGAUUAGAUACCCGGGUAGUC
rnacentral:rRNA from 1 species